UACGAAGGGUGCAAGCGUUACUCGGAAUUACUGGGCGUAAAGCGUGUGUAGGUGGUUUUUUAAGUCCGUUGUGAAAGCCCUGGGCUCAACCUGGGAAUGGCAGUGGAUACUGGAAAGCUAGAGUGCGGUAGAGGGUAGUGGAAUUCCCGGUGUAGCAGUGAAAUGCGUAGAGAUCGGGAGGAACACCAGUGGCGAAGGCGGCUUCCUGGACCAGCACUGACACUGAGGCACGAAAGCGUGGGGAGCAAACAGG
rnacentral:rRNA from 1 species